rnacentral:rRNA from 1 species
AUUGAACGCUGGCGGCAGGCCUAACACAUGCAAGUCGAGCGGAUGAAGGGAGCUUGCUCCUGGAUUCAGCGGCGGACGGGUGAGUAAUGCCUAGGAAUCUGCCUGGUAGUGGGGGAUAACGUCCGGAAACGGGCGCUAAUACCGCAUACGUCCUGAGGGAGAAAGUGGGGGAUCUUCGGACCUCACGCUCUCAGAUGAGCCUAUGUCGGAUUAGCUAGUUGGUGGGGUAAAGGCCUACCAAGGGGACGAUCCGUAACUGGUCUGAGAGGAUGAUCAGUCACACUGGAGCUGAGACACGGUCCCGACUCCUACGGGAGGCAGCAGUGGGGAAUAUUGGGCAAUGGGCGCGAGCCUGAUCCAGCCAUACCGCGUGUGUGAAGAAGGUCUUCGGAUUGUAAAGCACUUUAAGUUGGGAGGAAGGGCAGUAAGUUAAUACCUUGCUGUUUUGACGGUACCAACAGAAUAAGCACCGGCUAACUUCGUG